rnacentral:rRNA from 2 species
UGCUGUGAGCUCGAUGAGUAGGGCGGGACACGUGGUAUCCUGUCUGAAUAUGGGGGGACCAUCCUCCAAGGCUAAAUACUCCUGACUGACCGAUAGUGAACCAGUACCGUGAGGGAAAGGCGAAAAGAACCCCGGCGAGGGGAGUGAAAAAGAACCUGAAACCGUGUACGUACAAGCAGUGGGAGCCCCACCACUAAGCCAGUGGUGAACUCCACAUACGCAUCCUUUGCUGAGGAUACGGUUAACGGAGCGAAAGCGACGUUCAACCGCAAAAGAAGCAGAGGGGGCUUAGUGGUGGGGUGACUGCGUACCUUUUGUAUAAUGGGUCAGCGACUUAUAUUCUGUAGCAAGGUUAACCGAAUAGGGGAGCCGGAGGGAAACCGAGUCUUAAC